CACUAUCGUUAACUGAAUACAUAGGUUAACGAGGCGAACCGGGGGAACUGAAACAUCUAAGUACCCCGAGGAAAAGAAAUCAACCGAGAUUCCCCCAGUAGCGGCGAGCGAACGGGGAGCAGCCCAGAGUCUGAAUCAGCUUGUGUGUUAGUGGAACGGUCUGGAAAGUCCGACGGUACAGGGUGAUAGUCCCGUACACCAAAAUGCACAGGCUGUGAACUCGAAGAGUAGGGCGGGACACGUGGUAUCCUGUCUGAAUAUGGGGGGACCAUCCUCCAAGGCUAAAUACUCCUGACUGACCGAUAGUGAACCAGUACCGUGAGGGAAAGGCGAAAAGAACCCCGGCGAGGGGAGUGAAAAAGAACCUGAAACCGUGUACGUACAAGCAGUGGGAGCACCUUCGGGUGUGACUGCGUACCUUUUGUAUAAUGGGUCAGCGACUUAUAUUCUGUAGCAAGGUUAACCGUAUAGGGGAGCCGCAGGGAAACCGAGUCUUAACUGGGCGUUAAGUUGCAGGGUAUAGACCCGAAACCCGGUGAUCUAGCCAUGGGCAGGUUGAAGGUUGGGUAACACUAACUGGAGGACCGAACCGACUAAUGUUGAAAAAUUAGCGGAUGACUUGUGGCUGGGGGUGAAAGGCCAAUCAAACCGGGAGAUAGCUGGUUCUCCCCGAAAGCUAUUUAGGUAGCGCCUCGUGAACUCAUCUUCGGGGGUAGAGCACUGUUUCGGCUAGGGGGUCAUCCCGACUUACCAACCCGAUGCAAACUACGAAUACCGAAGAAUGUUAUCACGGGAGACACACGGCGGGUGCUAACGUCCGUCGUGAAGAGGGAAACAACCCAGACCGCCAGCUAAGGUCCCAAAGUCAUGGUUAAGUGGGAAACGAUGUGGGAAGGCACAGACAGCCAGGAUGUUGGCUUAGAAGCAGCCAUCAUUUAAAGAAAGCGUAAUAGCUCACUGGUCGAGUCGGCCUGCGCGGAAGAUGUAACGGGGCUAAACCAUGCACCGAAGCUGCGGCAGCGACACUAUGUGUUGUUGGGUAGGGGAGCGUUCUGUAAGCCUGCGAAGGUG
rnacentral:rRNA from 1 species